AUGGUGUGAAUCCGGGAGGCAGAGCUUGCAGUGAGCCGAGAUUGUGAGGCUGCACUACAGCCUGGGCAACAGAGCAAGACUCCAUCUCAAAGAAAAGGAAGAACCCUAUCCCUUAGAGCCAUCCAGCAGACUGUGUGGGAAGUAGAGAGCUGCCAGCAGGAGAUGUGAUCAAAGGCUGGGUGCUGUGUCCAGGGUGGUCGGAAUAGAAACUACACUGGAUGCCUUCCAGAGUCCUUCUUCCAGCUGUGAUCAUCUGAGUCCGCAAAUAUUCCCUCUUGCUACUGAAUUCCCA
rnacentral:lncRNA from 10 species